AGCGAACGCUGGCGGCAGGCUUAACACAUGCAAGUCGAGCGGGCGUAGCAAUACGUCAGCGGCAGACGGGUGAGUAACGCGUGGGAACGUACCUUUUGGUUCGGAACAACACAGGGAAACUUGUGCUAAUACCGGAUAAGCCCUUACGGGGAAAGAUUUAUCGCCGAAAGAUCGGCCCGCGUCUGAUUAGCUAGUUGGUGAGGUAACGGCUCACCAAGGCGACGAUCAGUAGCUGGUCUGAGAGGAUGAUCAGCCACAUUGGGACUGAGACACGGCCCAAACUCCUACGGGAGGCAGCAGUGGGGAAUAUGGGACAGUGGGGGCGACCAUGAUCCAGCCAUGCCGCGUGAGGGAUGAAGGCCAUAGGGUUGUAAAGCUCUUUUGUGCGGGAAGAUAAUGACGGUACCGCAAGAAUAAGCCCCGGCUAACUUCGUG
rnacentral:rRNA from 1 species